rnacentral:rRNA from 1 species
UACGUAGGGGGCAAGCGUUGUCCGGAUUUAUUGGGCGUAAAGAGCGUGUAGGCGGCUUUACAGGUCCGUUGUGAAAACUCGAGGCUCAACCUCGAGACGCCGGUGGAAACCGUAAAGCUAGAGUCCGGAAGAGGAGAGUGGAAUUCCUGGUGUAGCGGUGAAAUGCGCAGAUAUCAGGAAGAACACCCGUGGCGAAGGCGGGUCUCUGGGCCGUAACUGACGCUGAGGAGCGAAAGCAUGGGGAGCGAACAGG